rnacentral:rRNA from 1 species
CGAUCCGUAGCUGGUCUGAGAGGACGACCAGCCACACUGGAACUGAGACACGGCCCAGACUCCUACGGGAGGCAGCAGUGGGGAAUUUUGGACAAUGGGGGCAACCCUGAUCCAGCAAUGCCGCGUGUGUGAAGAAGGCCUUCGGGUUGUAAAGCACUUUUGUCCGGAAAGAAAACUUCGUCCCUAAUAUGGAUGGAGGAUGACGGUACCGGAAGAAUAAGCACCGGCUAACUACGUGCCAGCAGCCGCGGUAAUACGUAGGGUGCGAGCGUUAAUCGGAAUUACUGGGCGUAAAGCGUGCGCAGGCGGUGAUGUAAGACCGAUGUGAAAUCCCCGGGCUUAACCUGGGAACUGCAUUGGUGACUGCAUUGCUAGAGUAUGGCAGAGGGGGGUGGAAUUCCACGUGUAGCAGUGAAAUGCGUAGAGAUGUGGAGGGACACCGAUGGCGAAGGCAGCCCCCUGGGCCAAUACUGACGCUCAUGCACGAAAGCGUGGGGAGCAAACAGGAUUAGAUACCCUGGUAGUCCACGCCCUAAACGAUGUCAACUGGUUGUCGGGCCUUCAUUGGCUUGGUAACGUAGCUAACGCGUGAAGUUGACCGCCUGGGGAGUACGGUCGCAAGAUUAAAACUCAAAGGAAUUGACGGGGACCCGCACAAGCGGUGGAUGAUGUGGAUUAAUUCGAUGCAACGCGAAAAACCUUACCUACCCUUGACAUGUACGGAACCCUGCUGAGAGGUGGGGGUGCCCGAAAGGGAGCCGUAACACAGGUGCUGCAUGGCUGUCGUUAGCUCGUGUCGUGAGAUGUUGGGUUAAGUCCCGCAACGAGCGCAACCCUUGUCCCUGGUUGCUACGCAAGAGCACUCCAGGGAGACUGCCGGUGACAAACCGGAGGAAGGUGGGGAUGACGUCAAGUCCUCAUGGCCCUUAUGGGUAGGGCUUCACACGUCAUACAAUGGUCGGAACAGAGGGUUGCCAAGCCGCGAGGUGGAGCCAACCCCAGAAAACCGAUCGUAGUCCGGAUCGCAGUCUGCAACUCGACUGCGUGAAGCUGGAAUCGCUAGUAAUCGCGGAUCAGCAUGCCGCGGUGAAUACGUUCCCGGGUCUUGUACACACCGCCCGUCACACCAUGGGAGUGGGUUUUACCAGAAGUGGCUAGUCUAACCGCAAGGAGGACGGUCACCACGGUAGGAUUCAUGACUGGGGUGAAGUCGUAACAAGGUA